AUUAAACUGCGUUCUAAUUCAGGAAGCUCAUUUGCAAAGCAGCACAGGAAAGAGCCCUGAUGAAGGGACCUGGCCUGAAAUGUCGACUGUUUCUUCGCCUCCAUAGGUGCUGCCUGACUUGUCGAAUUCCUCCAGCAUUUUUGUGUGUGCUGCUCGAGCCGGCAGGCGGUAGGUGAGCACAGAAGCGGUAUGCCAUUGCUGCCUUCAGGACAAUGUCUUCACAAGAUGGGUGACCCCAGCCAUUAUCAAUACUCUUCAGAGACUGUCUGCCUGGUGUCAGUGGUCGCAUAACCAGGACUUGUGAUCUGCACCGGCUGCUCAUACGACCAUCCACCACCUGCUCCCAUGGCUUCACCUGACCCUGAUCGGGGGUUGGGGGGGGUGUUAAGCAGGUGCUACACCUGGCCCAAGAGACUGCAGGCUAGUGGAGGGAAGGUGCGCCUUUCACCUCCUUUGGUAGUGACAUAUUUCCACCCCACAACCCUUGAUGGUAAUAAAGAGGAAAGGCAUGUCCCAGUGGCGAGGAUCCUUAGUAGUGGAUGUGUGGUGAACUACAUAUACCUGUCUGGACACGCCCCCGCUGACUGCUCCUGUGGCUCCUCCCACAGACCCCUGUAUAAAGGCGAUCAAGGCCUGAACCCGGCCUCUCAGUCUCCAGGAUGUAGUAUGGUGGUCACUCGCUGCUUGUUCCUUCUUCCAGUCAAUAAAAGCCAAUAUCUCGCCUUACGUCUCAGAGUGAGUUAUUGAUGGUGCAUCAGGAUGCCUGCCUUGCUGAGGAACUGUGCCUCGAAGGUGGUUUCAGUAAUGGGGAGGAUGGUGCCAUAUGGGAGCUGGCUAAAUCUACAACCUCCUUCACCUUCUUGCAAUCCUGUGUAUUGGAGUGUCCACACCAUACAACCAGUCAGAGUGCCUUCCACUAUACACCAACAGAACUUUUUAAGUCUUAGGUGACACACAAAAUCUCCUCAAACUAUUGGAAGUGGGGCCGCUGAUGUGCCUUUUUCAGGAUACAUCAAUGUGUUGGGCCCCGGGUAGAUGCUGACACCCACAAACUUGAAACCGCUCCCCGUUCCCAUUACUGACCCCUCAAUGGGGACUGGUGUGCUUUCUCCCAGCUUCGCCUUCCUGAAGUUUACCGUCAAUUCCUUGGUCUUAACGGAUGUAGAGCACGAGUUUCUUGUCAUGACGCCAUUUGAUGUUGAGGGUGUGUUGUCAGGCUCCUGUACCUCCCCCUUGAUGAUAGCAACAAGAAAAGGCCAUGUUCUAGAUGGUGAGGGAUCCUUAAUGGUAAAUGUCACUUCUUUGAGGUACAAGCUCUUGAGAAUGUCUUUGAAGGUAACGCCCAUGACGGAGC